rnacentral:rRNA from 1 species
CCAGACUCCUACGGGAGGCAGCAGUGGGGAAUCUUCCGCAAUGGACGAAAGUCUGACGGAGCAACGCCGCGUGAGUGAUGACGGCCUUCGGGUUGUAAAGCUCUGUUAAUCGGGACGAAAGGCCUUCUUGCGAAUAGUGAGAAGGAUUGACGGUACCGGAAUAGAAAGCCACGGCUAACUACGUGCCAGCAGCCGCGGUAAUACGUAGGUGGCAAGCGUUGUCCGGAAUUAUUGGGCGUAAAGCGCGCGCAGGCGGAUAGGUCAGUCUGUCUUAAAAGUUCGGGGCUUAACCCCGUGAUGGGAUGGAAACUGCCAAUCUAGAGUAUCGGAGAGGAAAGUGGAAUUCCUAGUGUAGCGGUGAAAUGCGUAGAUAUUAGGAAGAACACCAGUGGCGAAGGCGACUUUCUGGACGAAAACUGACGCUGAGGCGCGAAAGCCAGGGGAGCGAACGGGAUUAGAUACCCCGGUAGUCCUGGCCGUAAACGAUGGGUACUAGGUGUAGGAGGUAUCGACCCCUUCUGUGCCGGAGUUAACGCAAUAAGUACCCCGCCUGGGGAGUACGACCGCAAGGUUGAAACUCAAAGGAAUUGACGGGGGCCCGCACAAGAAGGGCGAAUUCC